UUAUUCAUGCCCGUGCCACCUCUUGGGUGGCUCAUCAAUCAAUCAAUCAAUCAGUCGGUUGUUGGCAUUAUCAUAGACGUUCAGACGGAGCUUGGAGCAGAGCAGAGGGCUGAGUGAGGCCGGAGUCGCGGAGCUCUAUGUGGGAGAGCGUGGAGGCUCGAUGGGGAAUCGUGAGUGUCUGAACUCGGGGAGCGAGAGCAUUGUAGCUUGAUGCGGGCGUAGUCUGCUGUCUGCUCUGUGUUGAAGCUGUAGCGUCUUGGGGUCGAUUAGAACUGUACACGCUGAAUGCUACACUCUAGAAGUUGAAGAAGUGAGAUGUGAACCAGUAAGCACCUGGACUUGAAAUGUUGUAUUUAUUGGCACUAUUCCUCUGGGACAACAGUGACACUGUAACGUUGACCGUUGCGGAUCACUACCAUGGUGAGGUCUCCUUUACCCUCUAGGAACUUGUAUACGUCACGAGAAGAAUGAAUUUCAUGGUUAUUGAUGUUGGUUAUGAUGUCUCCUGGCUGCAAGCCCGCUCUGCAACAGUUAUUUCCAUUAUCCUCUUGCACAUACAGUAUUAUUUCUCAUUUUUUGUUACGUCUACACAAUGCCAAGUAAUAAAAACAAACAGAUAGGUAAAUACCCCAAAAGAGGUCAACAACUUCCAACAGAAUACCUGUACAGUACUGGCAAUAGCCAUAAGGAAAAAUUAUUUUAAGCAAUACGGUACAUUAGUUUUUUCUCUGCAGGGAUAAUAGGCUUUAUAAUUCAAAAUAUUUAUAUACUGUACUUACUGGUAAGCUGGAGAGCCAACAACAAUUCUCCAGAUAAAUAUUCCAUGGGUGACAUCAGGAGGAACAUUCUGGGGAGCACUGCCUCGGGCUUGAAGCUCCAACAAGAUUGACUGUGUAAGGGUUAACAUUGUCACACCAAGGUACCGACGCCGAUCUGGAUAGCUUGAUUCUGUUUAUUUGCCAACAAAAUAAAGUAAAUUAAAAUU